AUUGAACGCUGGCGGCAGGCCUAACACAUGCAAGUCGAGCGAGCGGCGGACGGGUGAGUAAUGUCUGGGAAACUGCCUGAUGGAGGGGGAUAACUACUGGAAACGGUGGCUAAUACCGCAUACCAUCGGAUGUACCCAUAUGGGAUUAGCUAGUGGGUGGGGUAAAGGCUCACCUAGGCGACGAUCCCUAGCUGGUCUGAGAGGAUGACCAGCCACACUGGAACUGAGACACGGCCCAGACUCCUACGGGAGGCAGCAGUGGGGAAUAUUGCACAAUGGGCGCAAGCCUGAUGCAGCCAUGCCGCGUGUAUGAAGAAGGCCUUCGGGUUGUAAAGUACUUUCAGCGGGGAGGCGUUACCCGCAGAAGAAGCACCGGCUAACUCCGUGCCAGCAGCCGCGGUAAUUC
rnacentral:rRNA from 1 species